GCCCUGGGGCUGGCCUGGGCUUGCAGACCCGAGCCCUGCAGAACAGCCCCGGGGGCGCAGGCCAGCGGAAGAAAGAGGACCUUUAUGCCCUUUUGAGGGAAAAGCACAUUCUGCAGCGCUGUGGAAACAAAGAGAGGAACGGUUGUAGCCCUAGUCCAGACGUCCCAAACAAACAAUUCUCUGGCCCAUCAAAGGACGGUACAAUGACCUUCACGCGCCACCUGAAGUCCUGCCCUCUCUCUGCCAUAAGGAGUUUCAUUCUACGAAAGAAACCAAACAUCAGAAACAUGUCCGGCAUGGCUGGGGGGCUCCGACCAGCCAGCAUAGUGGCCCUGCACAGGUCCCUCGCCCCGGCCUUUGAAAAGUUCUGCCAGGCCAACAGUGGCCCUCUGCCCCUGCUGGGCCGAAGCGAGCCAGGCAAGUGGACGUUGCCUGCCCUGGGCGCUGUCUCAGACACCAGGAUGGACCGUCCCCAGUUCCGUAAGUAUGAGUUCGGUGCCUGCACGGGCAGCCUGACCUCGCUGGAGGAGUACUUGGAGCAGCUGAAGGACAUGGUGACCUUCUUCCUGGGCUGCAGCUUCUCCUUGGAAGGGGCCUUGGAGAAAGUGGGGCUCCUCGGAAGAGACCCAGCGGGCCACGGCCACGUGGGUGCAUACAAGACAACAGUGCCUUGCGCCACCAUUGCUGGCUUUUGCUGCCCUCUGGUGGUCACAAUGAGGCCCAUCCCCAAGGACAAGCUGGAAGGGCUGGUGCAGGCCAGUUGCUCCAUGAUGGGUGAGCAGGGACAACCCAUUCACAUCGGCGACCCAGAAAUGCUGGGAAUCCGAGAUCUCUCCAAACCUGACUACGGGCAUGCUGUGGUGUGUGAGCCAGGGGAGGUCCCGGUGUUCUGGCCUUCUCCGCUGACCAGUCUCGAAGCUGUCAGCAGCUACAAGACUCCGCUGGCUUUCACCAGCGCUCCAGGUUGCACCGUUAUGACCCACCUGGAGGAUCUGAAGGGUCCGGAGGCUCCAGCCAGUUGUCUCACCCCUGAGGGAAUUCCAGAGGUCGUUCCCAUUUCCCAAGAUCCUUUGCACUACAGCAUUGCAUCAGCUUCAGCCGUUCAGAAGAUCAGAGAGCUGGAGACUAUAAUUGGCAUAGACCCAGGCAACAGGGGGGUCGGGCACCUGCUCUGCAAAGAUGAGCUGCUGAGGGCCUCUCUGUCGCUGUCCCACGCCCGCUCCGUGCUCAUCACCACCGGCUUCCCCACGCAUUUCAACCACGAGCCUCCGGAAGAGACGGACGGGCCGCCGGGAGCCAUUGCUCUGGCCGCCUUCCUGCAGGCCUUGGAGAAGGGCGUCUCCUUGAUCGUUGACCAGAGGGCCUGGAGUUUGUUCCAGAAGCUUGUUGAGGAGGCUGUUGAGCGAGGUGUUCUGAAGACCCAGCUCCCGGUGCUCACUUACCAAGGCGGGUCGGCAGGAGCGGCUCGGGCGCUCCUCUGCGAUGACAGGGACCCCAAGUCUCCUCGAUUCGACCAUCUGGUGGCGAUAGAGCGCACAGGGAGGGCUGCCGACGGCAACUACUACAACGCCAGGAAAAUGAACAUCAAGCAUUUGGUCGACCCCAUCGACGAUCUUUUCCUUGCAGCGCAGAAGAUUCCUGGAAUCUCAUCAACUGGCAGCUGCCUCAUUGUGCACACAGCACUCAAACGAGAACCAAGACUCCCGCCUUCCCCUUACGACCCAAGUCCUGCCCUUGCCAGUGGCUCUGCUGGGUCAGGAAAACCAGGCCGUGGUCUGGCGUGAGGAGUGAACAGGAUGAAAUUCCCACAAUGCUAAAUAGCAGGCAGAAACGGACAAAACACCAAAGCUGGGCGUCGUCAUUAUUUUCCUCCAUUCGGUGCGCUGGCACGGACCUGGAAAACUGUUCUGAGAAAAAUCCUCCGGGCGUGGACCUAAGGAAGGUGGUCAUUCACAGCUGUCCGGUUCUUGUGGCCGAGCCCAGGUCCCUGAUGCUCGAGGUGGUCACCCCCACUUCCCCUGUCCACCACCUCACAGUGAAUGCUGACCUCUGGCCGAGCUUCCCUUGCAUCCCCCGCCGUUGCAGACACAGACGCAGGAACGGGCAGGCCGUCACGCGAGGCCUAAUGACGUCUCGGUCGGCAAAGCUGGUGGCCACCAUGCCGUGUGCGGCUGGCAGCGGCCUCGUGUUUACCUCGUCUCCUAACUGCAUGUUUGUCUCGUGCUUGAUUUAAUCUCGCGUUCUGUUCAUCACGACGCCUAAACAUACAAAAUCACUGCUAAUGUUGCCAGGAAGAGGCGAUGUUGAGUGGCUGCCCCAGAAAAGAAAUGAAGAUUAGGGACUAUGACGGGGGAAAUCACCGGUCAGACGCGCCCUAGUCCACCGCAGCGAGGAUCUGGAAGAACGAGAACCGAGUGGCAGAAGCUGCUGAAGGGUCUGCAUCAUUGAAGGCAAUGGGACUACAAGCAUUUGAGAAGGGCCCAUAUCAGACGUGGAGAAAUGUCUCAUUACCUGGAUUGACGACCAGACACAGAAGCGUGCCCCUCUCAGCACUGUGAGGAUCACAGCCAGAAGGUCUGAGCCGGCAGGAGAUCACAUCCACAACGCAAGGCCCACACACAGCAAAACGAUUGUAUUGCAUGCUGCGGGGUGCAGGCGGGCUGAGCUGAAAGGGGUCAGCCUCGAACAACAGUUGGGAUAUAGGUUAUAUACUCUACUUCUAGCUUCCAGCAGCUCCUGCUGACGUAGUCUGCCUGGUCCGUUGUCCACUUUGCAGUUGGACUGGUCUGGUAUCACAUCUUGCAUCUGCCGGGUGAUUCAUUGCCUUGCGGAUAAUCCAGAUAGUCUGUACUCAACAGAAGGCUGAGCAAAGGUCAUGCAAGCAACACAUUUUUCACAGUUUCCACCUUUUGCAAGCUUUUACCUUUACCCUUGAAAACGUCACUAACCCUUUCGACAACCAAAGCAAAACAUCUGUGGGCGAUGUUGAAAGAAAAGGCUGGACCGGACGAUGAUGAACUGACUGUCAGCUCUGGGUGAUUUAAACAGCUCAAGAGCCGUUAUUCAUUCCAUGAUCCGAACAUGAGGGGUGAGUCUGCCGGGGCUGAGGCGAAGGCAGCUGGAGGGUUUCUGGAGACUAGAUAAGCUGACUGUGGAGGAAUACUCGCCAGAACAAAUUUCAGUAUGGAUGAAACCUCCCCGUUCUGGAAACAGAUGCCGGAAAAGUCUUUCCUCCAUAAGGAAAGACCAAGCCUCAAGGCUUCGAAGCACAGGAUCGAGGAGUUGUAGCAGCUUUUAAGGCCUCCUCCCUGAGGAGGACCUUUGCCCAGGCUGUUGCUGUAACCGAGGAGACGGCGAUGCAGUUCUGGAAGGGUCUCCUCACCUGUGACCGCACCGGGACAGUGCUUGGGCGAUGUCCCCGAGGAGUAUACGAAUGGCAUCUGGAAGAAGACACUGAACAGGGGUCGGUGACGGAGGCAAUGAGCUUGGCAUGGGCAAAGUCAAGGAGGCCGUGAAGAGCCACAUACGAAAUGGGGAUGUCAUCGCCUGUGACGUGGAGGCUGAC